AUUGAACGCUGGCGGCAUGCCUAACACAUGCAAGUCGAACGGUAACGCGGGGGCAACCCUGGCGACGAGUGGCGGACGGGUGAGUAAUACGUAGGAAUCUACCCAUGAGUGGGGGAUAACCCGGGGAAACCCGGGCUAAUACCGCAUACGCUCUACGGAGGAAAGCGGGGGAUCGUAAGACCUCGCGCUGAUGGAUGAGCCUACGUCGGAUUAGCUAGUUGGUAGGGUAAAGGCCUACCAAGGCGACGAUCCGUAGCUGGUCUUAGAGGACGAUCAGCCACACUGGGACUGAGACACGGCCCAGACUCCUACGGGAGGCAGCAGUGGGGAAUAUUGGACAAUGGGGGCAACCCUGAUCCAGCAAUGCCGCGUGUGUGAAGAAGGCCUGCGGGUUGUAAAGCACUUUCAGAGGGGAAGAAAAAAUCGGAGCUAACAUCUCCGAGCUUGACGUUACCCUUAGAAGAAGCACCGGCUAACUCCGUGC
rnacentral:rRNA from 1 species